GUGUUCUGAGAUCGUAUUACUAGAGAACUGCAUCGCCUUCUGCCUUCUGUGACUUGAAUCCAGGAAAAGUUCCGUAUUUAAUAUUUAUUCCCUAAGCAUCGGUGGAUGAAGACAGAUGGUAAUGAAACCAGCGUUGCUGAAAGUGACCACAAUGAUAAUAGAUUCUUUAUGAUGUCCAGGAAUUCUGGACUCUCAGUCUCGGCUUAAAUGUAGCAUGGCGCCAAGUCCGUCACCUUAAGCUUAGUAGUCCUGUCAUCUCCCUGACCUGUCUUUAGACCUGAUGAGUGCAGGCUGCACUAAAGGCAUCAAUCUGUCUUUCUCUCCCUAUAAAUGUUUUAAACACCCAAAGCUGGUCACAAAUGACACAUUCUGCAAGAAAACCUUUGCAGAGUACGGGCUGGUUGACUUUCUACUUUCUUGGAGUCUGACUCACUGGAGACAGGACAGGAAGAAGCCUUCAAAGCCACUUAGCCCCAUGUCUCUCAACCUACAAACUUGUGCUCUAUGGUGCUGGCAAAGAGCUCCAAAACAAGUGUGAAACUCUUCUUUUUGUGACAUGGGUCCCUUGCCAAGGCAUGAAGAAUUCCUCAUCAUCUGAAAGAAGCAGAAAGGAUGAGGGUUAAAUACUACAUAGAUAUUUAUUCUAUAAAGUAAAGGUCCAUUUCAGUCUAGCCCACCCAUCUCAAAAGUAAGGCUACUCCUUCAUCAUUUAGAGUGGGUAAAAAAUUGGGAGCCAAGAGUAAGUAAAGGGAAAAGGGCUAUCAUAAAAAUACUUAUUUCUUUUGCAAGAUUGACUUCACCACAGCCAAAGACAUAUGAAUGCCACUAACAGUAUCUAAUUUAGUCUUGGUUUCUCCUUUCCCCUGUCUAGCCCCUUUGUCUCCUGUCUCUCGUCAGAUAUAUUUACCCAUCCAGGCUUCCAGGCUUUUGCCCAACUCCAGCAGUGCUUAAAAUGUUGGUUUUCAGGAAAGCACUGGCAGACAAAAGAAGGAUCCAAAUUAGAAUUAGCCCAAAGAAAGCAAUUCCCUUCAGUGGAAGUUUUCUUGAUAGCCCCAAAUUCAUGUUCUACAUGAAACUCCAAAUAGGAAUUUG
rnacentral:lncRNA from 1 species